rnacentral:rRNA from 1 species
GACGAACGCUGGCGGCGUGCUUAACACAUGCAAGUCGAACGGAAAGGCCCUGCUCUUGUGGGGUGCUCGAGUGGCGAACGGGUGUGAAACACGUGUGUAACCUCCCCCUGACUUUGGGAUAACUUCAGGAAACUGGGGCUAAUACCGGAUAGGAGCUCCUGCUGCAUGGGGGGGGUUGGAAAGUUUCGGCGGUUGGGGGUGGACUCGCGGCAUCUGCGCUUGUUGGUGGGGUUGUGGCUUACCAAGGGUUUGACGGGUAGCCGGCCUGGGAGGGGAGACGGCCACAAUGGGACUAAGAUACGGCCCAGAAUCCUACGGGAGGCAGCGGGGGGGAGUAUUGCGCAAUGGGCGGAAGCGUGAGGCGACAGCGCCGCGUGCGGAAUGACGGCCUUCGGGUUGUAAACCACUUUCGCCUGUAACAAGGCGUGAGUGACGGUAAUGGGUAAAGAAGCACCGGCUAACUACGUG